CAACCCUGGUGGCGAGUGGCGAACGGGUGAGUAAUACAUCGGAACGUGUCCUGUAGUGGGGGAUAGCCCGGCGAAAGCCGGAUUAAUACCGCAUACGCUCUACGGAGGAAAGGGGGGGAUCUUAGGACCUCUCGCUACAGGGGCGGCCGAUGGCAGAUUAGCUAGUUGGUGGGGUAAAGGCCUACCAAGGCGACGAUCUGUAGCUGGUCUGAGAGGACGACCAGCCACACUGGGACUGAGACACGGCCCAGACUCCUACGGGAGGCAGCAGUGGGGAAUUUUGGACAAUGGGCGCAAGCCUGAUCCAGCAAUGCCGCGUGUGUGAAGAAGGCCUUCGGGUUGUAAAGCACUUUUGUCCGGAAAGAAAACGUCGUGGUUAAUACCCGUGGCGGAUGACGGUACCGGAAGAAUAAGCACCGGCUAACUACGUGCCAGCAGCCGCGGUAAUACGUAGGGUGCAAGCGUUAAUCGGAAUUACUGGGCGUAAAGCGUGCGCAGGCGGUCCGCUAAGACAGAUGUGAAAUCCCCGGGCUUAACCUGGGAACUGCAUUUGUGACUGGCGGGCUAGAGUAUGGCAG
rnacentral:rRNA from 1 species